rnacentral:rRNA from 1 species
AUUGAACGCUGGCGGCAGGCCUAACACAUGCAAGUCGAGCGGCAGCACAAGGGAGUUUACUCCUGAGGUGGCGAGCGGCGGACGGGUGAGUAAUGCCUAGGGAUCUGCCCAGUCGAGGGGGAUAACAGUCGGAAACGACUGCUAAUACCGCAUACGCCCUACGGGGGACAGAGGGGGACCUUCGGGCCUCUCGCGAUUGGAUGAACCUAGGUGGGAUUAGCUAGUUGGUGAGGUAAUGGCUCACCAAGGCGACGAUCCCUAGCUGUUCUGAGAGGAUGAUCAGCCACACUGGGACUGAGACACGGCCCAGACUCCUACGGGAGGCAGCAGUGGGGAAUAUUGCACAAUGGGGGAAACCCUGAUGCGGCCAUGCCGCGUGUGUGAAGAAGGCCUUCGGGUUGUAAAGCACUUUCAGUAGGGAGGAAAGGGUGAGUCUUAAUACGGCUCAUCUGUGACGUUACCUACAGAAGAAGGACCGGCUAACUCCGUGCCAGCCGCCGCGGUAA